GACGAACGCUGGCGGCGUGCUUAACACAUGCAAGUCGAACGGUAAGGCCCUUCGGGGUACACGAGUGGCGAACGGGUGAGUAACACGUGGGUGAUCUGCCCUGCACUUCGGGAUAAGCCUGGGAAACUGGGUCUAAUACCGGAUAGGACUCCGGACUGCAUGGUCUGGGGUGGAAAGCUUUUGCGGUGUGGGAUGGGCCCGCGGCCUAUCAACUUGUUGGUGGGGUGAUGGCCUACCAAGGCGACGACGGGUAGCCGGACUGAGUGGGUGACCGGCCACACUGGGACUGAGAUACGGCCCAGAGUCCUACGGGAGGCAGCAGUGGGGAAUAUUGCACAAUGGGCGCAAGCCUGAUGCAGUGACGCCGCAUGAGGGUUGACGGCCUUCGGGUUGUAAACCUCUUUCAGCAUCGACGAAGCGAAAGUGACGGUAGUAGCAGAAGAAGGACCGGCCAACUACGUGCCAGCCGCCGCAGUAA
rnacentral:rRNA from 1 species